rnacentral:lncRNA from 1 species
UACAAAAGGGAGGGGGGUGGUAUCCAUAAGAAAAUCUCAGACUCUUUUAUUAUUAUUUUUUAUUAUUAUUUUUUUAACCCACAAGGGGAGGUUUCUUUUUUUUUUAAUUUUUUUAUUUAUUUAUGAUAGUCACAGAGAGAGAGAGAGGCAGAGACAUAGGCAGAGGGAGAAGCAGGCUCCAUGCGCCGGGAGCCCGAUGUGGGAUUCGAUCCCGGGUCUCCAGGAUCGCGCCCUGGGCCAAAGGCAGGCGCCAAACCGCUGCGCCACCCAGGGAUCCCCCUCAGACUCUUAUAGAUAGGACAAUUAAAAUUAUUUUCUGACAAUGGAGAAAGGUGAAAGAGAUUUUUAUUUUCAGUUGUUAAGAAAAACUAUCUUUCAACCUUUCCCUUUCUUCACCUUCAGUAUUUCCACCAUCACUUCUAGGUGACUACAGGAUGAGGCUUUAAAGAUACUGGAUCUAUAGAAAGAAAGGGCUGGAAGGGCAAGGAGGCAUCAGCUGAAAAGCAAAAAGCCAGAAAUCAAAUCUCCAGUCUACAGAGAUUGAGGAGGUGACUCCAUCCUCUUCACAGUGGCAUUCAUGCCCAGUUACUUCUUUAGACCUCAACUCCCAGACAGACAUUUCGAAGUCCUUCCUUUUGCUGGGACCUACGAGAGAAGAGAAAAAUCCACACCAAUCUUCUCAUAAUCCUUCUCAAGAGCAGCCUCAUCCUCCCAAGUCUCAGAACAUUUUCCUUCCUCCAUGUCUCACCUAUACACCAGUGAACAAAGGCAUGCUUGGCAUACAUCAAACUUGUAGUCUAGGUGAACCCAGGCCUCAACAAUGGCUGUGGCAUUGCUCACCAAGCACACAGCUUGUACUUUGGCCAGUUCCCUAUCAGGUACUACAGUGGAAGGCUGAUAAUGAAUGCCAACUUUGAAGCCAGUGGGGCAACAGUCCACAAAUUGGAUGGACUCUUGGUCUUGACGGUGGCAAUGGCAGCACUGAUAUCUUUGGGAACCACCACAUCAUGGUACAACAGGCAGCAAGCCACAUAUUUACUAUGGGAGAUAUUCCAUCAGCCAGAAGAUCAACCUGGAACCAGUUCUCCCUCCCCAGCUGUGGAAAACCAAGAAGCCCCGAAGACCUAUGCACCAAUCAGCCAGUUUCUGAAUUUGGCCCAAGACAAGGAGGCAUCCAGUGGACUUGAGCCAAAUUUCCUUGAGGCUGACCAACACCAUUUUACCACCCCAUGCUGAUCACAAGCCUCCUGAAGACAAUGCCUGUUGGAAGUGGGACAGCCACUAUUAUUUAGGUCUGCAUGGUGUUUGAAAAGCAAAGGAAAGAGAAGGUAGAGG